rfam:Triticum aestivum genome assembly, contig: Triticum_aestivum_CS42_TGACv1_scaffold_320268_4BL
UAAGUACUCCCCCCGUCCUAAAAUUCUUGUCUUACAUUUGUCUAAAUAUGGGUGUACCUAAUACCAAAACGAAACUUGAUACAUCCGUAUUUGGACAAAUCUAAGACAAGAAUUUUGGGACGGAGGGAGUACAAA